ACACCAUCUAAAAUACAUACAUAUAACAGGGGGAGGGAGAGAGAGAGAGGUGGAGGUUGCAAAUUGUUGAAGAGGAAAACCUGAGGAGUAGCAGGAGAGAGAAAAAGAGAAUGAAGGGUCACUGGCUAGACACUUGACUGUUGAGCAGCUAGGUCAAGUUUCUUUCUUCCCUCUCCAUCAACAAUCCUCCGAAUCGCAAGUUCCAUCGUCUUCACCCUUCAGUAUUGACAUCGAUUCGAUUGCAGAUGACAAAGAUUUCAUUCUCAGUCAAGAUUUCUUUUGUAGUCCUGACUAUAUCACUCCGGAUGGUCAAUAUAUCUCCAAUUUGGGAUUGCGACAAGGUGGAAAUACAGGUCUUGUAGGGGGAAGUGUGCCUGUUUUCGAUGAGGUUUACAAGGCUGCUGCUGCAGAAGGUGCUACAUUUUUAAAUGAAUGGUUUGUUGGUUGCAACGCAAGCCAUGUAGUGUGUGAAGGGACUUCUAUACAAAAAUAUAUUGGCCACUCUAGUAAUCUUGUUACAGUAAGUGCUAUUCUUCUGCAUUUGCAUUUUCUUAUGAAUGAGUACUGUGUAUUUGAAUUUUGGAGAACAAACGGAGUUGGACCCAUUGAAGAUAAUUUUGAUGUUUGGACCGGUACUGUUGUCACUUAUCCCACAUUAUGAAAUUUGGCUGAUAUUUCAAUGUUUUUUUUCGGUCUUCAAACACUUUUUAAAUGAUAUAUGAUGUCCCUCAGCCACUGUGGGUUCUGAAAACUGCAAAAGAAAAACGUAUGCAGAGGUUUGUUCAUAUGUCCACUAAUAUGGCUCCGCAGGUUGGGAUAAUGCUUGACAAUGCCCAAAAUGGAAUUUAUGGAGAGGUAUCCUCUAUCCUUCCUUACUUUUUGCCCCUUUUUUUUUUCUUCUUUUUUUUUUUUUUAUAUAUAGAUGCAAUGUGUUUUGAUUCACUUGCAAUUGUGAGGAUGCAUUCUUCUAAAUCUAGGGAGGUUGUGUUUGAUUUGUGGUUGAAUUAGUUUGUUACUAUGUCAGAAAACAAGGCAUCAAUAUUUUUGGUUUCUUUUUCUUUGAACCACAAGAUACUAUGUCUAAUGCUUCCAAAGUUCUAAUAGUGUCAUGCACUCCAUAUAUUUUGAAAAAUAAAAUGGAAGAGAAGUUUUAUUGUUUAAAGUUGGCCAACGUAACUCAAAGCAUGAAAUACAACUAUAUGUCGUUUCUCAAUUUGUAAUUGCCCCAGGUAGGACUGAAAACAUUCCAGCUUCCUGUUUUUUGGCACACUUAUCUGGUGCUCAGCGAUAUAUUUCCUGUAGCAAUUUUGUUUUCAAAUUUAUAUUUUGGAUUGAGCGAACCGUACAAUGUAUUUAUCAAAUAUGCCUUGGGAUGAUUCUGCCGCAAUGAGAAAUGUCCCUCAAGCCCCUCAAUCUGUAACUACUCCAGUGAACUCUACAAUCUAUGUAUCACAUAUGCCUUUGGGAUGAUUCUACUACGGUGAGAAAUAUCCCUCAACCACCUCAAUUUGUGACUGCUCUAGAGUGAAGUCCGAAAAUCUGAAGAUUGAAGCUUGAACUCCGAAAAUCACAAAUCUCCACUUUCCAGCCGGAGCACUUCCUUCGCACUACACACGAGAUGAGACUAAAGAAGCUGAAUCACUUUUUGAUUAUCUAAAUGCAAUUAUUAUAGUUGAAGGUAGAUUUCCUAAGAGCAUCUCCAACGGUUCAGUAUUUUUUUCAUCAAAUUUGAGUAAAAAAUGGCUCAUUUUCUCAAUUUUAUAUCAGUUGUUCCAACUGUGCAUCAAAAUCCGUGGGUCAACCGGUUGGUCGACCGGUAAGGCUAAAUAUUUUUUUUUUAAAACCUUUUUGAGCUGUUUGAACCCACCUAUGUGAACUGGGGGAGGGGCGACCGGUUGGUCGACCAAG